GAGAGGAAGGCAGAUUUAAACUGAGAGAGGUGUGGAGUUGAGGCAAGUUAUUGUACCUGGACUGAAGGCGCUUGCCCAGAGUCUCUGGCACUUAUAGGACACCUACAGACAUUGCCGGCUUGAAGAAAGCCCCUUUUCUGCUGCCAUGACACUCAUGCAAAGGAUGGAACAGACCACACCAGGGGCUGGCCCUGGUGUGUACCAGCUGGGACAGAAUGCUGAUCUAAAUGCGUAUGUGUGAAAAGGGAUGCCAGAGAAGUUCUUGAAGGGGAAACCCAAAGUCCUUGGGAAUAUGUGCUUCCUAAUUUUUGGAUCUCUCCAGUCUGAGCAUGUGCAAAGAAGAGCAACAGUUUUGGUAGGAGUAGUAUCAUAGGUUGUGCAGAUCGUGAUUGCCCUGGUGAACCUCAGCUUGGGAAUAACAAUGAUUAGAGUUGCAGUCUCAUUUCCUGAAGUUUAUUAUAUCGGUCCCGUAUCAGUGUACUCAGGGUACACAAUUUGGGGGUCGGUGAUGUUUAUUAUUUCAGGGUCCUUGUCAAUUGUAGCAGGAACUAGAACUACAAGAUGUCUGGUGAGUAAUAUUUCCUCUUUUUUGGUCCAAAGGAAGAAAGACUGACUACCUAUGUAUUCUGCCAGAAUAGAAAAUAAAUUUUAUUAGUUUUUUAAAAAUUAGAGAGAUUGUAAGUUUUACCUAGUUAGAUUUGUCUUUCAACAGUUGGAAUAAAAUAUUGUCUGAUAAUAGAAUUACUCACAUGAGAAAUAAUAGUUUGGGAAAGUAGCUGCUGAGAGAAUCUUUAUGGAAAUACAGAGAAUUUCAGAAAGAGGCAUCAAAUGGAUGGGUCAUACAAACCCUACAACUUGAGAUCCAGCCCCCUAUGACAGUGACACCAAUUGUUGGUGUGGCAUCAUAUUUACUGACUUGCAUGGAAAUAUGUAUUUCACCUCUGUGCAGAAAGGAUUUUGAUUCAGUUUGCAAAGAAAGAAAUUCACAAUAAGGCUACUAAGUCAGAAAAAGCAAUUUAAAACAAUAAAAGCCAAUAAAUGGCAAAAGCCCAGAUCUCAACAAAUGUUUUUUCUAGCUAAAACUGUAUUGAGUUUUCUUCACUCAAAGGAUAAAUAUCAAACUAUGGAGAUGAUCACUAUGGCUUUUCUAAAUCUGAUCUCUAUUUGCCUCCCUAGGAUCUUCUCCAGCUAUAAACAUUAAAAUUUACCUCGUGCUACAGCCACACUAAACCUCUCAUACUUUCUUGAGGAAUUUUAGUUCUUAUUAAAAGCCUUCAAAACUUCUCUAAGGGAGAGAAAUAGGAAAAGAAAUACACUGCAAAUGGAGAUAACAUGCAAAAGGCAUGGAGACAUGAGAGGCAACUGGAAUUUAGAAAAUAAGGAGAAGUCAGGCACCUGAAACAGUACAUGGUAGGAGAUGGACACAGAAAGGACUGUCCAGCUAAAGCGUAAAGGAUACUGAAAGCCCUGCCGAGGAAAUUGGAGCUGAUCUCAUGUGCCCAUGGGAGUCAUCUGAAGGAUUUAAGGGUGGGAAUAACAGGAUGAUAUUUGUAUUUUGGCAGGUGAUUAGAGUUGAAACUACUAUAAGGAAAGAGACAAGUUAGGAGACUAUUGCAGUAAUCAAGACAGAGAAGAUGAAAUGGGUUGGACAAGAAGUGGUGGGUGUAAAGUGAUUGAUAGGGACAUAUAUGAGGAUGAUGUUGGAUUGUUUAAUUGAUUUUCCUUCCUUUCUAGGUCCAAGGUAGCCUAGGAGUGAACAUCACCAGCUCUGUCUUUGCUGCAUCAGGGAUCAUAAUCACUGUGAUCAACAUAAUUAUUCUUUCAGGCAAUUCCCAUCUCUGUUACCGUUUUUCAGAGGUCGGAGAAUUGUUCCAUCAUUGUAAAUGUUUUAAUGAGUAUAGAUGGUGUGGUGCUCAUUUUAAGUAUGCCGGAGUUCUGCAUUGCUAUCUCCCUCUCUGUCUUUGGAUGCAAAGUAACCUGUUGUGAUCCUGGUCAGGUUGUGUUCCUGGUGCCGCCAAAUCCUCACAUGACAGAAACAGCAGCUCCUGUAACAGUUACAGGAGAUUUGAUGCCACCGAUGUAUCAAUAGGAAAAUGUUCCAGAAAAUCUAUCUUGACAGUUAUGCAAGAAUCCCACUUGGGAAAGUACCAAAUCCAACUUUGAUUUAUAUAUGUAUAUAUAUACAAAAUUCAGAGCUAUGUUCUCAUUUCCCCUAAGAAGUCAAAAUCCCAUUUUGCUGGCUCUUUAUCAACAAUAGCAGAAGUUAAAUAAAUGCAUCAUGCUUUUAAUGA